rnacentral:lncRNA from 1 species
GCUCUGGACAUUAAUAUUCUUAAAAGUGAAACUGUUGUAAGUGAUGGUAUAAAAAUUAUUUAAAACAAAUUCCUUAAAUGAUUUGUGAAAAGAAAGUUUCAUUUUAUGUAUCAAAAUGUGUAACAAGUGAUUAUUUAAAUCCCCACUUGAAGGCCUCCGAUAGACUGAGUGAGCAUAAAAUCAUCGCCAACGACAAACAAGUUAUAGGUAAAUUUUUCAGUACAAUUACUAAUAAACGUUUUACAGUCGACCACACUGUUAUGAAUUUGA